GGGCGGGUAGCUCAGUUGGUUAGAGCACACGGUUGACAUCCGUGAGGUCGCAGGUUCAAGUCCUGUCUCGCCCACAA
rnacentral:tRNA from 1 species